rnacentral:sRNA from 1 species
UCUCUUUGGGUCUCUCCCAGCUCUCCUCUUCCUGGCCUGGCUCCUCUCUCUAAUCCUGCCUCUCUUCCUCUUCCCCCAUUGCCUUGUCCCUUCUCACUCUAGGCCCUCACCUCCAGCCUCUGGCCCUGACCUCGAGCUGUGUCCUGAUUCUGUCUCUGCCCCAGGACUGCAGGGCUCCAGGAGGUGCAGCGGCCUGGAUGGGGAACCCGCCCGCCGGCCCGCCAGGGAUGGAAGCGACAGGAGUCUCAUUAGCAUCUCAAUUAAAGGCGCCUCCAUAUGGGUCGGAGAACCAGACCUGCAGGGACCAGGAAAAGGAAUACUAUGAGCCCCAGCACCGCAUCUGCUGCUCCCGCUGCCCGCCAGGCACCUAUGUCUCAGCUAAAUGUAGCCGCAUCCGGGACACAGUUUGUGCCACAUGUGCCGAAAAUUCCUACAACGAGCACUGGAACUACCUGACCAUCUGCCAGCUGUGCCGCCCCUGUGACCCAGGUGAGUGGGGAUGUGCCUGCGCGGGGGCUGGAUCCCCUGGAGCUCGGCCCCUCCCUGAGCCCUCCUGUCUCCCCACCAGUGAUGGGCCUCGAGGAGAUUGCCCCCUGCACAAGCAAACGGAAGACCCAGU